GAAAGUAAAAAAGGGCGCAUGGCGGAUGCCUUGGCUCUCGGAGGCGAUGAAGGACGUGAUAAGCUGCGAUAAGCUUUGGGGAGGUGCAAAUGACCUUUGAUCCAGAGAUUUCCGAAUGGGACAACCCAAUAUCUUGAAGAGGUAUUAUCCAACGUUGUUGGAGGCUAACGCAGGGAACUGAAACAUCUUAGUACCUGCAGGAAAAGAAAAUAAACAAUGAUUCCCCCAGUAGUGGCGAGCGAACGGGGAACAGCCCAAACCAUCCAUGUUACGGCAUGGGUGGGGUUGUAGGACUACGCCGUUGCAUGAAGACAUCAGAGAAGAACUUUCUGGAAAGAAAGACCAUAGAGCAUGACAGUUGCGUAUUCGAAUGUUGUCGAAGCAUAGUAGUAUCCUGAGUAGCGCGGAGCACGAGGAAUUCUGCGUGAAUCUGCCGGGACCAUCCGGUAAGGCUAAAUACUCCCGAGAGACCGAUAGCGAACCAGUACCGUGAGGGAAAGGUGAAAAGCACUUCGAACAGAAGAGUGAAAUAGUUCCUGAAACCGUGCGCCUACAAGCGGUCGGAGCUCGUUAAUGAGUGACGGCGUGCCUUUUGCAUAAUGAACCUACGAGUUGCCUUUGCCGGCAAGGUUAAGUGUGACGACACACGUAUCCGAAGCGAAAGCGAGUCUGAAGAGGGCGUAUAGUCGGCAGUGGCAGACGCGAAACCAAGUGAUCUACCCUUGGCCAGGUUGAAGGCUGGGUAACACCAGCUGGAGGACCGCACCAAUAAGCGUUGAAAAGCUUCUGGAUGAGCUGAGGGUAGGGGUGAAAGGCUAAUCAAACUUGGAGAUAGCUCGUACUCCCCGAAAUGCAUUUAGGUGCAGCCUUGCGGGUUACUGAUGUGAGGUAGAGCGACUGAUAAGAUGCGAGGGCUUCACCGCCUAUCAAGUCUUGACAAACUCCGAAUGCGUGUCAGUUCUAUGUCAGGAGUGAGGGCAUGGGUGCUAAGGUCCAUGUCCUAAAGGAGAACAAUCCGGACCAACAGCUAAGGUCCCGAAAUGAAUACUAAGUUGAACUAACGAAGUCAGAUUGCUAAGACAGCUAGGAUGUUGGCUUGGAAGCAGCCAUUCAUUUAAAGAGUGCGUAACAGCUCACUAGUCGAGGAGUCGGGCGUGGAUAAUAAUCGGGUAUGAAGUUGUCUACCGAAGCAGUGGGAUCAUUAAUAUGAUCGGUAGGGGAGCAUUCCAGUCAGCGUCGAAGGCGUACCGUGAGGUAUUCUGGAGCGUCUGGAAAAGCAAAUGUAGGUAUAAGUAACGAUAAAGGGGGCGGGAAACCCCCUCGCCGAAAGACUAAGGUUUCCUGAUCAACGCUAAUCGGAUCAGGGUCAGUCGGGUCCUAAGGCUCAGCCGAACGGCGAUGCCGAUGGCAGAAACGGUUAAUAUUCCGUUACUACCUUCAGGAGUGACGUGGAGACGCAGUAGUGACAGUGCCGCCAUCUGACGGAAUAGAUGGUUGAAGGGUGUAGGAGUCGAUCAUGGCAGGCAAAUCCACCAUGAGAUCCGAACCUGACAGUAUGCCGCGUCCUUCGGGACAAGGCAAUAGUGCGCGUAAGCAUGCUGCCGAGAAAAUCCGCUAAACUUAAUCCUGUAGGUACCCGUACCGCAAACGGACACACGUAGUCGGGAUGAAUAUUCUAAGGCGCUUGAGUGAUUCACGGUUAAGGAACUAGGCAAACUGACCCUGUAACUUCGGGAUAAAGGGUCCCUACCCUUUUAUGGGAGGGCGCAGAGAAUCGGUCCAGGCAACUGUUUAACAAAAACACAGGGCUGUGCCAAAUCGAAAGAUCCAGUAUACAGCCUGACACCUGCCCGGUGCUGGAAGGUUAAGAGGAGAUGUCAUCGAUAAGAGAAGCGUUGAAUUGAAGCCCCAGUAAACGGCGGCCGUAACUAUAACGGUCCUAAGGUAGCGAAAUUCCUUGUCGGGUAAGUUCCG
rnacentral:rRNA from 1 species